CCCACCCAUCAUUGGUUGUGAAAAGCCGGCCAGCUCAAUAAUAAUUCGUAGGCUGUCAACUGGUGGGGGUUCAUGGUACCUAUACCUGGAUAACCAAGUUUGGGUGUUGUGAAUUCAGGUCCUAUUGGGGAUACCCAUCAGGUUUUUAGCUCUAGGUUUCCAGUUGGGUUUGGGUCAAUUUGGGCAUUCACAUGGUCGGGCCCACCUGAUCGGGUGGAUUGGAUUGUACGUGCCAAUGUGACAUGCAUGGUCUGUGGAUGGGCUCUCUUAUGUAUACAGCUUAGGAAACUUCAUGCUGCUGGUGUGUCUAUAUGUAAUAUCAACAUUACAACUAAGUAGGCCCAACCCUCGUUUUCACCAGCCUCAGGUGGAUGGCUUGGACCGAAACCCAACCCAAAAUCUUGAUGGGUCCAAAAACCAGCCAAAAUCAGGUCAGGUCUAUGAAGUACUAACAGGUUGACAGUUUAAUUGAGACUAGAUGAGUUGGCUGAUUCUAUGUCGAUGUCCUGCUCUGCCCACAUGAUGGUUGCAAUAGCCCGGUUUUUGUGGCUAGUGUUCUUCAUGCUGGGGUACGUCUUUUGAACAGCUCGGAUGUGGCAUGUGCAUGAAAUUUAGACACGGUUGAUGGGGUUGUAGCUCAUAACUUUGCUAAACUACCACCGGUUGUAGGUGUACGUUUGUGUGCUCUCUUUAUUAAAGUGGUGAGAAAGCACAGGUAUUACUGAUGAAGAAAACAUUGAAGAUGGGAUGACAGUUGCGUUAGUAAUUGUUAAAAGGGGAGUUUAUCAACCAUCUGCGUGAUAUGUACAGCACGGCCCACCUGAUGGAAAGCUUGGAUCUUGUACAUAUGUUUUGUAUUGGCACAGAAUGGUAUUAACGGCAGAGAUGCAGCCGUGGGAGGCAAUGCAUUUUCCAUGGAUGAGAGAUCUCUUCUUGUUGCAAUUGGGAUUUGUAGGAGUAAUUUAAAAUGCUCCGGGUCACCUCUUCUUGGACGUUUUAUUAUUAUUAUUAUUAUUAUUAUUUUAAAUUCGGGGUUGCAAAGGUUGAAUCGAGCAUGUUGCUGUGCUGUGUUGCCGGAGUAGCCCGGCUUUAAUCCCUGGCCUUAAUCAGGCUGGACAUGGGCCUAUACGGCUGGGGUGGGCCAGGCCGGCCCUGUAACGAAGAGAGCUUGAUCCAAAUGUUGGAAAUAAGUCUCGACUUAAGAAGACAUUUUUGGGUGUCAUCCAUGCACCAAAAAUCCCA